rnacentral:rRNA from 1 species
ACACGUGGGUAACCUGCCCUUAAGUGGGGGAUAACAUUUGGAAACAGAUGCUAAUACCGCAUAGAUCCAAGAACCGCAUGGUUCUUGGCUGAAAGAUGGCGUAAGCUAUCGCUUUUGGAUGGACCCGCGGCGUAUUAGCUAGUUGGUGAGGUAAUGGCUCACCAAGGCGAUGAUACGUAGCCGAACUGAGAGGUUGAUCGGCCACAUUGGGACUGAGACACGGCCCAAACUCCUACGGGAGGCAGCAGUAGGGAAUCUUCCACAAUGGACGCAAGUCUGAUGGAGCAACGCCGCGUGAGUGAAGAAG